rnacentral:rRNA from 1 species
UAACUGGGCGUUAAGUUGCAGGGUAUAGACCCGAAACCCGGUGAUCUAGCCAUGGGCAGGUUGAAGGUUGGGUAACACUAACUGGAGGACCGAACCGACUAAUGUUGAAAAAUUAGCGGAUGACUUGUGGCUGGGGGUGAAAGGCCAAUCAAACCGGGAGAUAGCUGGUUCUCCCCGAAAGCUAUUUAGGUAGCGCCUCGUGAAUUCAUCUCCGGGGGUAGAGCACUGUUUCGGCAAGGGGGUCAUCCCGACUUACCAACCCGAUGCAAACUGCGAAUACCGGAGAAUGUUAUCACGGGAGACACACGGCGGGUGCUAACGUCCGUCGUGAAGAGGGAAACAACCCAGACCGCCAGCUAAGGUCCCAAAGUCAUGGUUAAGUGGGAAACGAUGUGGGAAGGCCCAGACAGCCAGGAUGUUGGCUUAGAAGCAGCCAUCAUUUAAAGAAAGCGUAAUAGCUCACUGGUCGAGUCGGCCUGCGCGGAAGAUGUAACGGGGCUAAACCAUGCACCGAAGCUGCGGCAGCGACACUGUGUGUUGUUGGGUAGGGGAGCGUUCUGUAAGCCUGUGAAGGUGUGCUGUGAGGCAUGCUGGAGGUAUCAGAAGUGCGAAUGCUGACAUAAGUAACGAUAAAGCGGGUGAAAAGCCCGCUCGCCGGAAGACCAAGGGUUCCUGUCCAACGUUAAUCGGGGCAGGGUGAGUCGACCCCUAAGGCGAGGCCGAAAGGCGUAGUCGAUGGGAAACAGGUUAAUAUUCCUGUACUUGGUGUUACUGCGAAGGGGGGACGGAGAAGGCUAUGUUGGCCGGGCGACGGUUGUCCCGGUUUAAGCGUGUAGGCUGGUUUUCCAGGCAAAUCCGGAAAAUCAAGGCUGAGGCGUGAUGACGAGGCACUACGGUGCUGAAGCAACAAAUGCCCUGCUUCCAGGAAAAGCCUCUAAGCAUCAGGUAACAUCAAAUCGUACCCCAAACCGACACAGGUGGUCAGGUAGAGAAUACCAAGGCGCUUGAGAGAACUCGGGUGAAGGAACUAGGCAAAAUGGUGCCGUAACUUCGGGAGAAGGCACGCUGAUAUGUAGGUGAAGUCCCUCGCGGAUGGAGCUGAAAUCAGUCGAAGAUACCAGCUGGCUGCAACUGUUUAUUAAAAACACAGCACUGUGCAAACACGAAAGUGGACGUAUACGGUGUGACGCCUGCCCGGUGCCGGAAGGUUAAUUGAUGGGGUCAGCGCAAGCGAAGCUCUUGAUCGAAGCCCCGGUAAACGGCGGCCGUAACUAUAACGGUCCUAAGGUAGCGAAAUUCCUUGUCGGGUAAGUUCCGACCUGCACGAAUGGCGUAAUGAUGGCCAGGCUGUCUCCACCCGAGACUCAGUGAAAUUGAACUCGCUGUGAAGAUGCAGUGUACCCGCGGCAAGACGGAAAGACCCCGUGAACCUUUACUAUAGCUUGACACUGAACAUUGAGCCUUGAUGUGUAGGAUAGGUGGGAGGCUUUGAAGUGUGGACGCCAGUCUGCAUGGAGCCGACCUUGAAAUACCACCCUUUAAUGUUUGAUGUUCUAACGUGGACCCGUGAUCCGGGUUGCGGACAGUGUCUGGUGGGUAGUUUGACUGGGGCGGUCUCCUCCUAAAGAGUAACGGAGGAGCACGAAGGUUGGCUAAUCCUGGUCGGACAUCAGGAGGUUAGUGCAAUGGCAUAAGCCAGCUUGACUGCGAGCGUGACGGCGCGAGCAGGUGCGAAAGCAGGUCAUAGUGAUCCGGUGGUUCUGAAUGGAAGGGCCAUCGCUCAACGGAUAAAAGGUACUCCGGGGAUAACAGGCUGAUACCGCCCAAGAGUUCAUAUCGACGGCGGUGUUUGGCACCUCGAUGUCGGCUCAUCACAUCCUGGGGCUGAAGUAGGUCCCAAGGGUAUGGCUGUUCGCCAUUUAAAGUGGUACGCGAGCUGGGUUUAGAACGUCGUGAGACAGUUCGGUCCCUAUCUGCCGUGGGCGCUGGAGAACUGAGGGGGGCUGCUCCUAGUACGAGAGGACCGGAGUGGACGCAUCACUGGUGUUCGGGUUGUCAUGCCAAUGGCACUGCCCGGUAGCUAAAUGCGGAAGAGAUAAGUGCUGAAAGCAUCUAAGCACGAAACUUGCCCCGAGAUGAGUUCUCCCUGACCCUUUAAGGGUCCUGAAGGAACGUUGAAGACGACGACGUUGAUAGGCCGGGUGUGUAAGCGCAGCGAUGCGUUGAGCUAACCGGUACUAAUGAACCGUGAGGCUUAACCUUACAACGCCGAAGGUGUUU